GGAGUUAGCCGGUGCUUCUUCUGCGAGUAACGUCACAGAUGUAAGGUAUUAACUUACACCCUUUCCUCCUCGCUGAAAGUGCUUUACAACCCGAAGGCCUUCUUCACACACGCGGCAUGGCUGCAUCAGGGUUUCCCCCAUUGUGCAAUAUUCCCCACUGCUGCCUCCCGUAGGAGUCUGGGCCGUGUCUCAGUCCCAGUGUGGCUGAUCAUCCUCUCAGACCAGCUAGGGAUCGUCGCCUAGGUGAGCCUUUACCUCACCUACUAGCUAAUCCCACCUGGGCUUAUCCAUCAGCGCAAGGCCCGAAGGUCCCCUGCUUUCCCCCGGUAGGGCGUAUGCGGUAUUAGCAGUCGUUUCCAACUGUUAUCCCCCACAAAUGGGCAAAUUCCCAGGCAUUACUCACCCGUCCGCCGCUCGUCAUCUUCAAAAGCAAGCUUUUGAAAUGUUACCGCUCGACUUGCAUGUGUUAGGCCUGCCGCCAGCGUUCAAUCUGAGCCAUAAUCAAACUCUGA
rnacentral:rRNA from 1 species